GCCCCGAUAGCUCAGUUGGUUAGAGCGCGACCUUGGUAAGGUUGAGGUCCCGUGUUCAAAUCACGGUCGGGGCU
rnacentral:tRNA from 1 species